rnacentral:sRNA from 2 species
CUGGUUCGCCUGCCUAACCCUGUCAGCGAACGCAGUGUUACACAGAUGGACAGGGGCGGAGGACCCACAACCGGUCAUGGCAUGCCAUGACCUUGGGGUGAAGUUCGGAUGCUGCCACACCGCAUGGAUCUGAACCGAGUUUUCUCAUACUCGAAUCCGACAGCUAACUUCGCAGGCAAAAAAUGAGAAAGGGU